rnacentral:rRNA from 1 species
AAAGUCUGUUUGCCAAAGGAGUACGGUGGUCUGGGAGUGCCCAACCUGCGCGUACCCAAUACAUUGCUGAGAGCGAGAUGGCCGUGGCUGGUGCGAACGGAUCCGGCAAGAUCAUGGGCAUAAUUCAACCUUCAAGUCUCAUCGGACUCGCUAGCCAUCUACAGAGCAGCCACAAAGUGCACCACCGGAGACGGAUCGAUGGUGCUAUUCUGGACUGAUUGGUGGCUUCAGGUGGGACACAUACAUGAUAUCAUGCCAAACCUAUUUGGUGCCGUCAAGAUGAGCGCAGCCAAGGUCAGAACAGUGAGAGAAGCAAUGUGAGGGCUGUGGUGGCGUGAUGUGUCACCCAACAUGAACGCCCACGCCAUAAAAGAGUUCCUAAGAUUGGUCGAUCCACUACGGAGUGUCGAACUAGCGGACGGGAUUGAUGAGAAAAUUGUAUGGACCUCGGAAGGAGAUGGUGUAAUGGUGUAA